rnacentral:rRNA from 1 species
GACGAACGCUGGCGGCGUGCUUAACACAUGCAAGUCGAACGAAAAGGCCCUGCUUGCAGGGUACUCGAGUGGCGAACGGGUGAGUAACACGUGGGUGAUCUGCCCUGCACUUCGGGAUAAGCCUGGGAAACUGGGUCUAAUACCGGAUAGGAGCCAUUUUUAGUGUGAUGGUUGGAAAGUUUUUUCGGUGUAGGAUGAGCUCGCGGCCUAUCAGCUUGUUGGUGGGGUAAUGGCCUACCAAGGCGGCGACGGGUAGCCGGCCUGAGAGGGUGGACGGCCACCUUGGGACUGAGGUACGGCCCAGACUCCUACGGGAGGCAGCAGUGGGGAAUCUUGCACAAUGGGCGCAAGCCUGAUGCAGCGACGCCGCGUGGGGGAUGACGGCCUUCGGGUUGUAAACUCCUUUCGCUAGGGACGAAGCUUUUUGUGACGGUACCUAGAUAAGAAGCACCGGCUAACUACGUG